AGUGAACGCUGGCGGUAGGCCUAACACAUGCAAGUCGAACGGCAGCACAGUAAGAGCUUGCUCUUACGGGUGGCGAGUGGCGGACGGGUGAGGAAUACAUCGGAAUCUACUUUUUCGUGGGGGAUAACGUAGGGAAACUUACGCUAAUACCGCAUACGACCUACGGGUGAAAGCAGGGGAUCUUGGGACCUUGCGCGAUUGAAUGAGCCGAUGUGGGAUUAGCUAGUUGGCGGGGUAAAGGCCCACCAAGGCGACGAUCCGUAGCUGGUCUGAGAGGAUGAUCGGCCACACGGGAACUGAGACACGGUCCAGACUCCUACGGGAGGCAGCAGUGGGGAAUAUUGGACAAUGGGCGCAAGCCUGAUCCAGCCAGACCGCGUGGGUGAAGAAGGCCUUCGGGUUGUAAAGCCCUUUUGUUGGGAAAGAAAAGCAGCAGGUUAAUACCCCGCUGUUCUGACGGUACCCAAAGAAUAAGCACCGGCUAACUUCGUG
rnacentral:rRNA from 1 species